rnacentral:rRNA from 9 species
CCGCCUGGGGAGUACGGCCGCAAGGUUAAAACUCAAAUGAAUUGACGGGGGCCCGCACAAGCGGUGGAGCAUGUGGUUUAAUUCGAUGCAACGCGAAGAACCUUACCUGGUCUUGACAUCCACAGAAGAAUCCAGAGAUGGAUUUGUGCCUUCGGGAACUGUGAGACAGGUGCUGCAUGGCUGUCGUCAGCUCGUGUUGUGAAAUGUUGGGUUAAGUCCCGCAACGAGCGCAACCCUUAUCCUUUGUUGCCAGCGAUUAGGUCGGGAACUCA